AUUGAACGCUAGCGGGAUGCUUUACACAUGCAAGUCGAACGAGUGGCGGACGGGUGAGUAAUAUAUCGGAACGGGCCCAGUAGCGGGGGAUAAAUACUCGCAAGAGUGGCUAAUACCGCCUACUAUUGGAGCGGACGCUCUCGGAUUAGCUCGGUGGUGGGGUAAAGGCUCACAAAGGAAACGAUCAGUAGCUGGUUUGAGAGGACGACCAGUCACACUGGGACGGAGACACGGCCCAGACUCCUACGUGAGGCAGCAGUGGGGAAUUUUGGACAAGGGGGGAAACCCUGAGCCAGCCAUCCCGCGUGUAUGAGAAGGCCUUCGGGUGGUAAAGUACUUUUGGCAGAGAAGCGGUAUCUGCAGAAUAAGCACCGGCUAACUACGUGCCAGCAGCCGCGGUAAUUC
rnacentral:rRNA from 1 species